rnacentral:rRNA from 1 species
AAUCAACGCUGGCGGCGUGCCUAACACAUGCAAGUCGAACGCGAAAGUCCCGCAAGGGAUUAGUAGAGUGGCAAACGGGUGAGUAACACGUGGGUGACCUGCCUUCGAGUGGGGGAUAACGUCCCGAAAGGGACGCUAAUACCGCAUGACAUCCUGCCUUUUAAACAGGCGGAGAUCAAAGCUGGGGAUCGCAAGACCUAGCGCUUGAAGAGGGGCCCGCGCCUGAUUAGCUAGUUGGUGAGGUAACGGCUCACCAAGGCGACGAUCAGUAUCCGGCCUGAGAGGGCGGACGGACACACUGGGACUGAGACACGGCCCAGACUCCUACGGGAGGCAGCAGUGGGGAAUUGUUCGCAAUGGGCGCAAGCCUGACGACGCAACGCCGCGUGGAGGAUGAAGACCUGGUCGUAAC